rnacentral:rRNA from 1 species
GCCCGUGGCGGCGGCUAUACAUGCAGUAGAACGCUGAAGAGAGGAGCUUGCUCUUCUUGGAUGAGUUGCGAACGGGUGAGUAACGCGUAGGUAACCUGCCUUGUAGCGGGGGAUAACUAUUGGAAACGAUAGCUAAUACCGCAUAACAAUGGAUGACACAUGUCAUUUAUUUGAAAGGGGCAAUUGCUCCACUACAAGAUGGACCUGCGUUGUAUUAGCUAGUAGGUGAGGUAAUGGCUCACCUAGGCGACGAUACAUAGCCGACCUGAGAGGGUGAUCGGCCACACUGGGACUGAGACACGGCCCAGACUCCUACGGGAGGCAGCAGUAGGGAAUCUUCGGCAAUGGGGGCAACCCUGACCGAGCAACGCCGCGUGAGUGAAGAAGGUUUUCGGAUCGUAAAGCUCUGUUGUAAGUCAAGAACGGGUGUGAGAGUGGAAAGUUCACACUGUGACGGUAGCUUACCAGAAAGGGACGGCUAACUACGUGCCAGCAGCCGCGGUAAUACGUAGGUCCCGAGCGUUGUCCGGAUUUAUUGGGCGUAAAGCGAGCGCAGGCGGUUUGAUAAGUCUGAAGUUAAAGGCUGUGGCUCAACCAUAGUUCGCUUUGGAAACUGUCAAACUUGAGUGCAGAAGGGGAGAGUGGAAUUCCAUGUGUAGCGGUGAAAUGCGUAGAUAUAUGGAGGAACACCGGUGGCGAAAGCGGCUCUCUGGUCUGUAACUGACGCUGAGGCUCGAAAGCGUGGGGAGCGAACAGGAUUAGAUACCCUGGUAGUCCACGCCGUAAACGAUGAGUGCUAGGUGUUGGAUCCUUUCCGGGAUUCAGUGCCGCAGCUAACGCAUUAAGCACUCCGCCUGGGGAGUACGACCGCAAGGUUGAAACUCAAAGGAAUUGACGGGGGCCCGCACAAGCGGUGGAGCAUGUGGUUUAAUUCGAAGCAACGCGAAGAACCUUACCAGGUCUUGACAUCCCGAUGCUAUUUCUAGAGAUAGAAAGUUACUUCGGUACAUCGGUGACAGGUGGUGCAUGGUUGUCGUCAGCUCGUGUCGUGAGAUGUUGGGUUAAGUCCCGCAACGAGCGCAACCCCUAUUGUUAGUUGCCAUCAUUCAGUUGGGCACUCUAGCGAGACUGCCGGUAAUAAACCGGAGGAAGGUGGGGAUGACGUCAAAUCAUCAUGCCCCUUAUGACCUGGGCUACACACGUGCUACAAUGGUUGGUACAACGAGUUGCGAGUCGGUGACGGCGAGCUAAUCUCUUAAAGCCAAUCUCAGUUCGGAUUGUAGGCUGCAACUCGCCUACAUGAAGUCGGAAUCGCUAGUAAUCGCGGAUCAGCACGCCGCGGUGAAUACGUUCCCGGGCCUUGUACACACCGCCCGUCACACCACGAGAGUUUGUAACACCCGAAGUCGGUGAGGUAACCUUUUGGAGCCAGCCGCCUAAGGUGACAAGAUAG